UCUCGAUUGGUCUAGUGGUCAGGAUACCUGCUUGUCAUUCUACGUAUGUUGCAAUUCACUUGAUCUAGUGAUUGUCUUACUAUAUAGAACAAGCCGCAGGUGGCCGGGGUUCGAUUCCCCGAUCGAGAG